UCUCUCUGUGUCUCUGUCUCUGUGUGUCUCUCCGUGUAUCUCUCUCUCUCCAUGUGUCUCUCAGUGUCUCUGUGUGUCUCUCUGUGUCUCUGUCUCUAUGUGUCUCUCUGUGUCUCUGUCUCUGUGUGUCUCUCCGUGUAUCUCUCUCUCUCCAUGUGUCUCUCAGUGUCUCUGUGUGUCUCUCUGUGUCUCUGUCUCUAUGUGUCUCUCUGUGUCUCUGUCUCUGUGUGUCUCUCUGUGUCUCUGUGUCUCUGUCUCUGUGUGUCUCUGUGUGUCUCUCUGUGUCUCUGUCUCUGUGUGUCUCUGUGUGUCUCUCUGUGUCUCUGUCUCUGUGUGUCUCUCUGUGUCUCUGUCUCUGUGUCUCUCUGUGUCUCUGUCUCUGUGUGUCUCUCUGUGUCUCUGUCUCUGUGUGUCUCUGUGUGUCUCUCUGUGUCUCUGUCUCUGUGUCUCUCUGUGUCUCUCUGUGUCUCUGUGUGUCUCUCAGUGUCUCUGUGUGUCUCUCUGUGUCUCUGUCUCUGUGUGUCUCUCUGUGUCUCUGUCUCUAUGUGUCUCUCUGUGUCUCUGUCUCUGUGUGUCUCUCUGUGUCUCUGUCUCUGUGUGUCUCUCUGUGUCUCUGUCUCUGUGUGUCUCUCCGUGUAUCUCUCUCUCUCCAUGUGUCUCUCCGUGUCUCUGUGUGUCUCUCUGUGUCUGUGUCUCUGUGUGUCUCUCUGUGUCUCUGUCUCUGUGUGUCUCCGUGUAUCUCUCUCUCUCCGUGUGUCUCUCUCUCUCUGUCUCUUUCUCUUUUGGUUGGACAGGUUUCUCAAUUUCUUUCUUCAUCAAACCAUUUGUUUUUGGUUUUCUGUUUGAAUUGUUUAGAUUUGAUUGGGAAGCUGAGAGGUCAAAUAUACUGUCUAGAUUUGAUUGGGAAGCUGAGAGGUCAAAUAUACUGUCUAGGUUUUCUACUGCCAAGUUGAGGGCAAUGUCCUUUAGGGUCCGGGCGAAGGUGGGCUCUUCUGCCUUGUAUAGGUGGACCUGGUCAUAAAGGCUGGUCAAGUCCAGGGUGGAGUGGUGGGCCAGGGUGGAGUGGUGGGCAAGGGUGGAGUGAUGGGCCAGGGUGGAGUGGUGGGCCAGGGUGGAGUGAUGGGCCAGGGUGGAGUAAUGGGCCAGGGUGGAGUGGUGGACCAGGGUGGAGUGAUGGGCCAGGGUGGAGUGGUGGGCCAGGGUGGAGUGGUGGGCCAGGGUGGAGUGGUGGG
rnacentral:lncRNA from 1 species